UACGUAGGGGGCAAGCGGUGUCCGGAUUUACUGGGUGUAAAGGGCGCGCAGGCGGGUUUGUAAGUCGGUGGUGAAAGCCUGUGGCUUAACUGCAGAACUGCCAUUGAUACUGCAAAUCUUGAGUGCGGAAGAGAGAGACGGAAUUCCAGGUGUAGUGGUGAAAUACGUAGAUAUCUGGAAGAACACCAGUUGCGAAGGCGGUCUCUUGGUCCGUAACUGACGCUGAGGCGCGAAAGCGUGGGUAGCAAAUAGG
rnacentral:rRNA from 1 species